GAUGAACGCUGGCGGCGUGCUUAACACAUGCAGGUCGAACGGUGAAGGCGGAGCUUGCUCUGCUGGAUCAGUGGCGAACGGGUGAGUAACACGUGAGCAAUCUGCCCCUGACUCUGGGAUAAGCGCUGGAAACGGCGUCUAAUACUGGAUACGAGCUGCGAAGGCAUCUUCAGCAGCUGGAAAGAAUUUCGGUCAGGGAUGAGCUCGCGGCCUAUCAGCUUGUUGGUGAGGUAAUGGCUCACCAAGGCGUCGACGGGUAGCCGGCCUGAGAGGGUGACCGGCCACACUGGGACUGAGACACGGCCCAGACUCCUACGGGAGGCAGCAGUGGGGAAUAUUGCACAAUGGGCGAAAGCCUGAUGCAGCAACGCCGCGUGAGGGACGACGGCCUUCGGGUUGUAAACCUCUUUUAGCAGGGAAGAAGCGAAAGUGACGGUACCUGCAGAAAAAGCGCCGGCUAACUACGUG
rnacentral:rRNA from 1 species